ensembl:snoRNA
AGCCUCAUUCUAUUGAAAAUGGGCACUGUUGUUCAUGGUGUUCAUAAAUUGUUAAUGUGGCUACAUUGAGAACACAGGUUUUGCUUCCAUCACUGUAAUUUUAUUGCAGUGGUGACAGUGAGACAUGUAACAUAU